rnacentral:rRNA from 1 species
GACGAACGCUGGCGGCAUGCCUAACACAUGCAAGUCGAACGAGACCUCCGGGUCUAGGGGCGCACGGGGGCGUACGGCGGGGGAAGCUGCCCGUAGGUUCGGAAUAACUGCCCGAAGGGGGUGCUAAUACCGGUUAAUGUCUUCCGACCUAAGAUUUCUUGCCUUUGGGUGGGGGCGCGUUGGAUUCGCGGGUUGGUAGGGUAAAAGCAGGCCAAGGGCACGAUCCUUAGCUGGUGUGAUAGGAUGAUCAGCCACGCUGGGAAUGAGACACGGACCAGACUCCUACGGAAGGGAGGAGAGGGGUACAUUAGACGCGGAGCGCAAGCGUGGUACAGCAACGCCGGGUGAGUGAUGAAGGCCGUAGGGUUGUAAAGCUCUUUUAGCCGGGAUGAUAGUGACGGUAACGGGAGAAUAAGCACCGGCUAACUCCGUG